rnacentral:rRNA from 1 species
GGACCUCAAAUGAUGUGUGACUACCCCUAAAUUUAAGCAU